GACGAACGCUGGCGGCGUGCUUAACACAUGCAAGUCGAACGGAAAGGCCCUGCUUGUGUGGGGUGCUCGAGUGGCGAACGGGUGAGUAACACGGGAGUAACCUGACCUGGGCUUUGGGAUAACUUCAGGAAACGAGGGCUAAUACCGGAUAGGUGCUCCUGCUGCAGGGUGGGGGUCGGAAAGUUUCGGCGGUUGGGGAUGGACUCGCGGCUUAUCAGCUUGUUGGUGGGGUAGUGGCUUACCAAGGCUUUGACGGGUAGCCGGCCUGGGAGGGUGACCGGCGACAUUGGGACUGCGAGACGGACCAGACGCGUACGGGAGGCAGCAGUGGAGAAUAUGGCACAGUGGGGGGAAGCCUGAUGCGGCGGCGCCGCGGGCGGGAUGACGGCCUUCGGGUUGUAAACCGCUUUCGCCUGAGACGACGCGUGGGUGACGGUAAUGGGAGAAGAAGCACCGGCUAACUACGUG
rnacentral:rRNA from 1 species